AAGUCGUAACAAGGUUUCCGUAGGUGAACCUGCGGAAGGAUCAUUAACGAGUCUUUUGAAAGUGGGCUUGAUGCUGGCCCCUUAGGGCAUCGUGCUCGGCCCCGCUUCAAUCCUCUCAACCACCGUGCACCUUCCUCGAGUCUGUGGUCCUCCGUCACGGGAGCCGCUCCUGGCCUGACGACGCUCGCGUCGAACGGCCGGUCGAGCCGGGAUCGCAUCGCUCGGGGCCUCUUUUUAAACACACACACCUUUGUCAGUCUUGUAGAAUGCAUCUACGCCCCUGGCGUAAAAAUUAAAUACAACUUUCAACAACGGAUCUCUUGGCUCUC
rnacentral:misc_RNA from 1 species